UCUGAGUAUAUAUUUAUAUAUACAUGGACCAACCAUUGGCAUAGCAUUCGUAUUAUGUACGGAUGCUUUGCUACUUGAUGACAGUGUUUGUGCGUGUCUGAGCCUUUCUCUUCUUUUUUUUAUCAAUCAAUUUAUUUUUCUCCUUUUGUUUUUAAUUUUUUAAAGUAAAUUUAUGAUAAGAAUUUGGGGUUUUUUGGAGGUGAUCUGGGUUUGGCUAUGAUUAUAAAGUAAGUCUGAAUGCUUAGUUGUAAUUUUGCAAUUGGGUACCAGUAUGACAGACUCCUAUACACCCAUAGAAUAUGAGCCCCCAAUUCUCCAGUUGCUUCAAUUCUAUUAAUCUUUCUUCUGCUUUAAUUAAAUGAUUUGGUUUUGUUCGGUUUAACAAAAAUCAUUGAUUUGGUUGGGGGAUUUUGGGCCUAAACCCAGUUUAAGUUUUUAUUUUGUAUUUUUUUUCAACCUUGUUAACCCAAAUAUAUAAGUUUCAUAAAAUACAAGUGGACGGUCCGAAUCGAUUUACAUUGAUUCAGUUCUAGACCGUUUGCAUUAUUUUUUCCAUGUCA
rnacentral:lncRNA from 1 species